rnacentral:rRNA from 1 species
UACGGGGGGGGCAAGCGUUGUUCGGAAUUACUGGGCGUAAAGGGCUCGUAGGCGGCCAACUAAGUCAGACGUGAAAUCCCCAGGCUCAACCUGGGAACUGCGUCUGAUACUGGAUGGCUUGAAUCCGGGAGAGGGAUGUGGAAUUCCAGGUGUAGCGGUGAAAUGCGUAGAUAUCUGGAGGAACACCGGUGGCGAAGGCGACAUCCUGGACCGGUAUUGACGCUGAGGCGCGAAAGCCAGGGGAGCAAACGGG